rnacentral:tRNA from 1 species
GGCCCCUUAGCUCAACUGGAUAGAGCACCGGAUUUCUAAUCCGGCGGUUAGACGUUCGAGCCGUCUAGGGGUCGCCA